CAGGCUAGAGUGUNUCAGAGGGGGGUAGAAUUCCACGUGUAGCAGUGAAAUGCGUAGAGAUGUGGAGGAAUACCGAUGGCGAAGGCAGCCCCCUGGGAUAACACUGACGUUCAUGCUCGAAAGCGUGGGUAGCAAACAGGAUUAGAUACCCUGGUAGUCCACGCCCUAAACGAUGUCAAUUAGCUGUUGGGCAACUUGAUUGCUUAGUAGCGUAGCUAACGCGUGAAAUUGACCGCCUGGGGAGUACGGUCGCAAGAUUAAAACUCAAAGGAAUUGACGGGGACCCGCACAAGCGGUGGAUGAUGUGGAUUAAUUCGAUGCAACGCGAAGAACCUUACCUGGUCUUGACAUGUACGGAAUCUUCCAGAGACGGGAGAGUGCCUUCGGGAACCGUAACACAGGUGCUGCAUGGCUGUCGUCAGCUCGUGUCGUGAGAUGUUGGGUUAAGUCCCGCAACGAGCGCAACCCUUGUCAUUAGUUGCCAUCAUUCAGUUGGGCACUCUAAUGAGACUGCCGGUGACAAACCGGAGGAAGGUGGGGAUGACGUCAAGUCCUCAUGGCCCUUAUGACCAGGGCUUCACACGUCAUACAAUGGUCGGUACAGAGGGUAGCCAAGCCGCGAGGUGGAGCCAAUCCCAGAAACCGAUCGUAGUCCGGAUUGCACUCUGCAACUCGAGUGCAUGAAGUCGGAAUCGCUAGUAAUCGCAGGUCAGCAUACUGCGGUGAAUACGUUCCCGGGUCUUGUACACACCGCCCGUCACACCAUGGAAGUGGGGGAUACCAGAGGUAGGUAGGCUAACCGCAAGGAG
rnacentral:rRNA from 1 species